AUACGGAGGGGACAAGCGUUAUUCGGAAUCACUGGGCGUAAAGGACGCGUAGGCGGGUUAUUAAGUCGGGUGUGAAAUCCAAUGGCUCAACCAUUGAACUGCAUUCGAAACUGAUAACCUAGAGUAUGGAAGGGGCAGGUGGAAUUAGUGGUGUAGGGGUAAAAUCCGUAGAUAUCACUAGGAAUACCGAAAGCGAAGGCGACCUGCUGGGACAUUACUGACGCUGAGGCGUGAAAGCGUGGGUAGCAAACAGGAUUAGAAACCCCAGUAGUCC
rnacentral:rRNA from 1 species